rnacentral:rRNA from 1 species
GAUGAACGCUGGCGGCGUGCCUAAUACAUGCAAGUCGAGCGAAGGGACGAGAAGCUUGCUUCUCUGAUGUGAGCGGCGGACGGGUGAGUAACACGUGGAUAACCUGCCUAUAAGACUGGGAUAACUUCGGGAAACCGGAGCUAAUACCGGAUGAUAUUUUGAGCCGCAUGGUUCAAAAGUGAAAGACGGUCUUGCUGUCACUUAUAGAUGGAUCCGCGCUGCAUUAGCUAGUUGGUAAGGUAACGGCUUACCAAGGCAACGAUGCAUAGCCGACCUGAGAGGGUGAUCGGCCACACUGGAACUGAGACACGGUCCAGACUCCUACGGGAGGCAGCAGUAGGGAAUCUUCCGCAAUGGGCGAAAGCCUGACGGAGCAACGCCGCGUGAGUGAUGAAGGUCUUCGGAUCGUAAAACUCUGUUAUUAGGGAAGAACAUAUGUGUAAGUAACUGUGCACAUCUUGACGGUACCUAAUCAGAAAGCCACGGCUAACUACGUG